rnacentral:rRNA from 1 species
AGUGAACGCUGGCGGUAGGCCUAACACAUGCAAGUCGAACGGCAGCACAGUAAGAGCUUGCUCUUACGGGUGGCGAGUGGCGGACGGGUGAGGAAUACAUCGGAAUCUACUUUUUCGUGGGGGAUAACGUAGGGAAACUUACGCUAAUACCGCAUACGACCUACGGGUGAAAGCAGGGGAUCUUCGGACCUUGCGCGAUUGAAUGAGCCGAUGUCGGAUUAGCUAGUUGGCGGGGUAAAGGCCCACCAAGGCGACGAUCCGUAGCUGGUCUGAGAGGAUGAUCAGCCACACUGGAACUGAGACGCGGUCCAGACUCCUACGGGAGGCAGCAGUGGGGAAUAUUGGACAGUGGGCGCAAGCCUGAUCCAGCCAUACCGCGUGGGUGAAGAAGGCCUUCGGGUUGUAAAGCCCUUUUGUUGGGAAAGAAAAGCAGCAGGUUAAUACCCCGCUGUUCUGACGGUACCCAAAGAAUAAGCACCGGCUAACUUCGUG